rnacentral:rRNA from 1 species
UACCAGACUCCUACGGGAGGCAGCAGUCGGGAAUAUUGCGCAAUGGAGGAAACUCUGACGCAGUGACGCCGCGUAUAGGAAGAAGGUUUUCGGAUUGUAAACUAUUGUCCACAGGGAAGAAAAAAGACUGUACCUGUGAAGAAAGCUCCGGCUAACUACGUGCCAGCAGCCGCGGUAAUACGGAGGGUGCGAGCGUUAAUCGGAAUUACUGGGCGUAAAGCGCUCGUAGGCGGUAUGUCAAGUCAAGGGUGAAAUCCCCGCGCUCAACGUGGGAACUGCCUUUGAAACUGGCAAACUGGAGUGUGUGAGAGGAUAGUGGAAUUCCAGGUGUAGGAGUGAAAUCCGUAGAUAUCUGGAGGAACAUCAGUGGCGAAGGCGACUAUCUGGCACAUAACUGACGCUGAGGAGCGAAAGCGUGGGUAGCAAACAGGAUUAGAUACCCGAGUAC